rnacentral:rRNA from 1 species
GAAUGGCAUCACGAGGGUUACACUGUCUCCUUUUUUUAAUCAGUGAAACUAAUCUCCCCGUGAAGAAGCGGGGAUUUUCUUAUAAGACGAGAAGACCCUAUGGAGCUUUAAACAAACUAACACUUGCUGCCCAAAAUAACUUUUUCAGGAAACACGGCACACAGCAUAGCAAGAUGAUUAAUAGUUUUCGAUUGGGGUGAUCACGGAGUAAAAAAUAACCUCCAUGCCGAAAGGACCCUUCCCUGAGCAAAAAGCCACAACUUUAAGCACUAAAAAAAUUAACGUUUAUUGACCCAAUAUUUUGAUCAACGAACCAAGUUACCCUAGGGAUAACAGCGCAAUCCACUUCAAGAGCUCCUAUCGACAAGUGG